CCCGCUGAACUUAAGCAUAUCAAUAAGCGGAGGAAAAGAAACCAACAGGGAUUGCCUCAGUAACGGCGAGUGAAGCGGCAACAGCUCAAAUUUGAAAUCUGGCCUCACGGUCCGAGUUGUAAUUUGUAGAGGAUGUUUUGGGCACCGCUCCGGGUUAAAUUUCUUGGAACAGAAUGUCAAAGAGGGUGAGAGUCCCGUCUUGGCCCGCGGUAGGACCUAUGUAAAACUCCUUCGACGAGUCGACUUGUUUGGGAAUGCAGGUCAAAAUGGGUGGUAAAUUUCAUCUAAAGCUAAAUAUUGGCCAGAGACCGAUAGCGCACAAGUAGAGUGAUCGAAAGAUGAAAAGCACUUUGAAAAGAGAGUUAAACAGUAUGUGAAAUUGUUGAAAGGGAAGCGCUGGCAACCAGACUCGAGCGCGGUGUUCCCCCUGGCUUCUGCCAGGGUUACUUCACCGUGACCGGGCCAUCAUCAGUUUCGGGGGUUGGUUAAAGGUUCCGGGAAUGUACCCACUCCUUCGGGGGUGGACUUAUAGCCCGGGGCGUCAUGCAACCUCCCGGGACUGAGGAACGCGCUUCGGCGAGGAUGAUGGCGUAAUGGUUGUCAGCGACCCGUCUUGAAACACGG
rnacentral:rRNA from 1 species